GCCCGGAUGGUGAAAUUGGUAGACACAACGGACUUAAAAUCCGUCGCUUGGGUAAUACCAGCGUGCCGGUUCGAUUCCGGCUCCGGGCACCA
rnacentral:tRNA from 1 species